CCUACGGGAGGCUGCAGUGGGGAAUAUUGGGCAAUGGGCGCAAGCCUGACCCAGCAACGCCGCGUGCAGGAAGAAGGCCCUCGGGUUGUAAACUUCUUUUAUCAGGGACGAAGCAAGUGACGGUACCUGAUGAAUAAGCCGCGGCCAACUACGUGACAGCAGCCGCGGUAAUACGGAGGUGGCGAGUGUUAUCCGGAUUUACUGGGUGUAAAGGGCGUGUAGGCGGGAAAGCAAGACAGAUGUGAAAACCAUGGGCUCAACCUGUGGCCUGCAUUUGAAACUGUUUUUCUUGAGUACUGGAGAGGCAGACGGAAUUCCUAGUGUAGCGGUGAAAUGCGUAGAUAUUAGGAGGAACACCAGUGGCGAAGGCGGGCUGCUGGACAGCAACUGACGCUGAGGCGCGAAAGCGUGGGGAGCAAACAGGAUUAGAUACCCUAGUAGUC
rnacentral:rRNA from 1 species